AUUGAACGCUGGCGGCAUGCUUUACACAUGCAAGUCGAACGGUAACAGGCCUUCGGGUGCUGACGAGUGGCGAACGGGUGAGUAAUGCAUCGGAACGUGCCCAGAGGUGGGGGAUAACGCAGCGAAAGCUGUGCUGAUACCGCAUGUGAUCUGAGGAUGAAAGCGGGGGACCAAGCAGCAAUGUUUGGCCUCGCGCCUCUGGAGCGGCCGAUGUCAGAUUAGGUAGUUGGUGGGGUAAAGGCCUACCAAGCCGACGAUCUGUAGCUGGUCUGAGAGGACGACCAGCCACACUGGGACUGAGACACGGCCCAGACUCCUACGGGAGGCAGCAGUGGGGAAUUUUGGACAAUGGGCGCAAGCCUGAUCCAGCAAUGCCGCGUGCGGGAAGAAGGCCUUCGGGUUGUAAACCGCUUUUGUACGGAACGAAAAGGCUCUGGCUAAUACCUGGGGCUGAUGACGGUACCGUAAGAAUAAGCACCGGCUAACUACGUG
rnacentral:rRNA from 1 species